UACGUAGGGUGCGAGCGUUGUCCGGAAUUAUUGGGCGUAAAGAGCUCGUAGGCGGUUUGUUGCGUCUAUCGUGAAAACCUGCAGCUUAACUGUGGGCUUGCGGUGGAUACGGGCAGACUUGAGUUCGGUAGGGGAGACUGGAAUUCCUGGUGUAGCGGUGGAAUGCGCAGAUAUCAGGAAGAACACCCGUGGCGAAGGCGGCUCUCUGGGACGGUACUGACGCUGAGACGCGAAAGCGUGGGGAGCGAACAGG
rnacentral:rRNA from 1 species